rnacentral:rRNA from 1 species
AAAAACUGAGGUGGUAUACGAUGGUUCCGCGUCUGAUUAGCUAGUUGGUGGGGUAAAAGCCUACCAAGGCAACGAUCAGUAGCCGGCCUGAGAGGGUGAACGGCCACAUUGGGACUGAGACACGGCCCAAACUCCUACGGGAGGCAGCAGCGGGGAAUAUUGCACAAUGGGGGAAACCCUGAUGCAGCGACGCCGCGUGAGUGAAGAAGUAUUUCGGUAUGUAAAGCUCUAUCAGCAGGGAAGAAAUACUGACCAUAGGGUCAGCAGACGGUACUUGACUAAGAAGCCCCGGCUAACUACGUGCCAGCAGCCGCGGUAAUACGUAGGGGGCAAGCGUUAUCCGGAUUUACUGGGUGUAAAGGGAGCGUAGACGGCAGCGCAAGUCUGAAGUGAAAUGCCAGGGCUUAACCCUGGAACUGCUUUGGAAACUGUGCAGCUAGAGUGCAGGAGAGGUAAGUGGAAUUUCUAGUGUAGCGGUGAAAUGCGUAGAUAUUAGGAGGAACACCAGUGGCGAAGGCGGCUUACUGGACUGUAACUGACGUUGAGGCUCGAAAGCGUGGGGAGCAAACAGGAUUAGAUACCCUGGUAGUCCACGCUGUAAACGAUGAUUACUAGGUGUUGGGGGACCAAGGUUCUUCG